UACGUAGGGGGCGAGCGUUGUCCGGAGUUACUGGGCGUAAAGCGCUUGUAGGCGGUCCACCAAGUUUGGGGUGACAGUUGCCGUCUUAAUCGGCAAAGUGCCUCAAAGACUGGCGGACUUGAGGGCCACAGAGGGACAUGGAACUCCAGGUGUAGUGGUGAAAUGCGUAGAUAUCUGGAAGAACACCAAAGGCGAAGGCAGUGUCCUGGGUGGUCGCUGACGCUGAGAGGCGAAAGCCAGGGGAGCGAACGGG
rnacentral:rRNA from 1 species